UACGGAGGAUGCGAGCGUUAUCCGGAUUUAUUGGGUUUAAAGGGUGCGCAGGUUGUUUGAUAAGUCAGUGGUGAAAGUCUGUCGCUUAACGGUAGGAUUGCCAUUGAUACUGUUGGACUUGAAUAUGGAUGAGGUAGGCGGAAUGUGUAGUGUAGCGGUGAAAUGCAUAGAUAUUACACAGAACACCGAUUGCGAAGGCAGCUUACUAAACUACUACUGACGCUCAGGCACGAAGGCGUGGGGAUCAAACAGGAUUAGA
rnacentral:rRNA from 1 species